UUAAGCGACUAAGCGUACACGGUGGAUGCCCUGGCAGUCAGAGGCGAUGAAGGACGUGCUAAUCUGCGAUAAGCGUCGGUGAGGUGAUAUGAACCGUUAUAACCGGCGAUUUCCGAAUGGGGAAACCCAGUGUGUUUCGACACACUAUCAUUAACUGAAUCCAUAGGUUAAUGAGGCGAACCGGGGGAACUGAAACAUCUAAGUACCCCGAGGAAAAGAAAUCAACCGAGAUUCCCCCAGUAGCGGCGAGCGAACGGGGAGGAGCCCAGAGCCUGAAUCAGUGUGUGUGUUAGUGGAAGCGUCUGGAAAGGCGUGCGAUACAGGGUGACAGCCCCGUACACAAAAAUGCACAUAUUGUGAGCUCGAUGAGUAGGGCGGGACACGUGGUAUCCUGUCUGAAUAUGGGGGGACCAUCCUCCAAGGCUAAAUACUCCUGACUGACCGAUAGUGAACCAGUACCGUGAGGGAAAGGCGAAAAGAACCCCGGCGAGGGGAGUGAAAAAGAACCUGAAACCGUGUACGUACAAGCAGUGGGAGCCUCUUAAUGGGGUGACUGCGUACCUUUUGUAUAAUGGGUCAGCGACUUAUAUUCUGUAGCAAGGUUAACCGAAUAGGGGAGCCGAAGGGAAACCGAGUCUUAACUGGGCGUUAAGUUGCAGGGUAUAGACCCGAAACCCGGUGAUCUAGCCAUGGGCAGGUUGAAGGUUGGGUAACACUAACUGGAGGACCGAACCGACUAAUGUUGAAAAAUUAGCGGAUGACUUGUGGCUGGGGGUGAAAGGCCAAUCAAACCGGGAGAUAGCUGGUUCUCCCCGAAAGCUAUUUAGGUAGCGCCUCGUGAAUUCAUCUCCGGGGGUAGAGCACUGUUUCGGCAAGGGGGUCAUCCCGACUUACCAACCCGAUGCAAACUGCGAAUACCGGAGAAUGUUAUCACGGGAGACACACGGCGGGUGCUAACGUCCGUCGUGAAGAGGGAAACAACCCAGACCGCCAGCUAAGGUCCCAAAGUCAUGGUUAAGUGGGAAACGAUGUGGGAAGGCCCAGACAGCCAGGAUGUUGGCUUAGAAGCAGCCAUCAUUUAAAGAAAGCGUAAUAGCUCACUGGUCGAGUCGGCCUGCGCGGAAGAUGUAACGGGGCUAAACCAUGCACCGAAGCUGCGGCAGCGACACUAUGUGUUGUUGGGUAGGGGAGCGUUCUGUAAGCCUGUGAAGGUGGCCUGUGAGGGUUGCUGGAGGUAUCAGAAGUGCGAAUGCUGACAUAAGUAACGAUAAAGCGGGUGAAAAGCCCGCUCGCCGGAAGACCAAGGGUUACUGUCCAACGUUAAUCGGGGCAGGGUGAGUCGACCCCUAAGGCGAGGCCGAAAGGCGUAGUCGAUGGGAAACAGGUUAAUAUUCCUGUACUUGGUGUUACUGCGAAGGGGGGACGGAGAAGGCUAUGUUGGCCGGGCGACGGUUGUCCCGGUUUAAGCGUGUAGGCUGGUUUUCUAGGCAAAUCCGGAAAACCAAGGCUGAGGCGUGAUGACGAGGCACUACGGUGCUGAAGCGACAAAUGCCCUGCUUCCAGGAAAAGCCUCUAAGCAUCAGGUAACAUCAAAUCGUACCCCAAACCGACACAGGUGGUCAGGUAGAGAAUACCAAGGCGCUUGAGAGAACUCGGGUGAAGGAACUAGGCAAAAUGGUGCCGUAACUUCGGGAGAAGGCACGCUGAUAUGUAGGUGAAGCGACUUGCUCGUGGAGCUGAAAUCAGUCGAAGAUACCAGCUGGCUGCAACUGUUUAUUAAAAACACAGCACUGUGCAAACACGAAAGUGGACGUAUACGGUGUGACGCCUGCCCGGUGCCGGAAGGUUAAUUGAUGGGGUUAGCGGCAACGCGAAGCUCUUGAUCGAAGCCCCGGUAAACGGCGGCCGUAACUAUAACGGUCCUAAGGUAGCGAAAUUCCUUGUCGGGUAAGUUCCGACCUGCACGAAUGGCGUAAUGAUGGCCAGGCUGUCUCCACCCGAGACUCAGUGA
rnacentral:rRNA from 1 species